AAAGGAAAUCGCAGCCAUACGGGCUGUGCUCCCCCAGCUGAACUGUCUCUGCAUUUUAGCGGUGGGAGAAAAGACGCUAUAUGGCGAUGUGCUCCUCCCUCCACCCUGCCAACCUCAUCUGUCAGCCAUUAGUUAAUCAGAGCUGGUAACACAGAGCACAGAGAGCUGGCACAGCUCGUGGGACCAGAGGACAGCUUCACCUCUGAGAGCAAGAAGAGGGCAAGGACUCAGGGACCUCUGCUUCACCGAUCUACAGCUGGGCUGCUUCACUCACCAGCACCCACUCAGGACUGGCAGGCGUCAACCUCAAGAUGACCCCACCCACUGCUUUUCUGUGAACAGAUUUAAAUUAAAGCCAUGACAAGAACCGUGCUUGUGAGGACCAGGGGGACCUUCCAGUCACCGCUUCUAUUGCUCACACUCGGCUGGCAUAUGUGCAGGAUCAGGAAACACAAGCCCAAUGAUGUCACAAACAACUGACCCCAGGGUGACAGGUUCGGAGAGUGUUCUCGCCCAAUGCCCUCAGGCCAAAGUCAAGUAUGUCAAUGUUGUGCAUGUGGAUUUCAUUUGAAGCAGCGUGAUUAGUUCACAGACGCGCAACUGCCAUCCCCCCUCCAUGGGAACCCCACUCUUGACAGGAAAUGGUAUGUUUUUGUUAGCAACAAACAGGCAUAAAUUACUAAAAUGGUGCCUUGGUUGCCAAUUUAUCACACACAGCCUUAUUGUUGCUGCCUGCACACACUGACUUCGACAUUGCUUUUAAGGUAAAUACUAUUAGUUAAUGAUAUUUACAUUCCUGAUAGUUUAUGUUGAACUGUGUCUGCAAUCAUAAAUUUGUGAAAUAAAUGUGAUGAUUGUGUUGUGUCUUUUCUUCUUUAUAUGACAAAUAUGUUUUGAUGACCUGUAUUUGGGAAAUAAAUAUAGCUUUUGGUAAUCAUUCAUUCAUUUUGAAGCUGUGACUGCAAGAUUAGAAAUUAUUAAAGGUCCAGGGAGAAAAAUGGAGGCAGAUUAUUUUAGAUAGACAAACUAAAGCAAUAAAUGAAAUGACAUUUGAAAAGUAGUUUUGGACAUAAUUGUCCUUCUGUUAUUGAAUGCCAGCAUAAAAGAUUACUCGUUGAUCAAAUGUUUAUCAGAAAGCAGUGCAGAUUUGUGAAUACUGUCAAGAGGGUAGUAUACCAUCAUUAAUAAAAGCCAUUUCCCUGUAAGCAAGUUAUAGAUAGUAAUGGCUUGGCUAAAAUGUCUUAUAAGUAAUGGUAUCUGUGGAAUAAUAAAUGUGUUAACUACUUCCCCAAGAGGGGAUUAAACAGUAUACAAUAAUAUUGAAUCUUUUUCAUGUGUGAUAUAUAUUUAAGAAUGUAUUUGAUAUAUUGAAAAAACUACCAGGAUUUUUUUUGUUGAGUUACUGCUACAAACUGAUGUGACCUAUAUUGCUGUUGCAAAAAAAGUAUUUUUAUUUAGCACAGAAGAAUACUUUGGGGAUACUACCAACAGAAGAGGCCAUUAGAUAAGGUAAGACACACGCUGAAGCCAUGAGAAAUAUGUUGACAAUGGUAUGUAAUACAAGAACCCCUUGACCAUUUUAUUACCCUCUGUCCUCUAAAAGACCAUCAGCUUCUAAAGUUUUGCCAUUUCACUGAGACAAUGUUUAAUGUUUGGUUCUAUGAAAUGAUUAAAAGGUUUAAAAAAAAA